rnacentral:rRNA from 1 species
AGUCGUAACAAGGUUUCCGUAGGUGAACCUGCGGAAGGAUCAUUACAGUAUUCUUUUUGCCAGCGCUUAAUUGCGCGGCGAAAAAACCUUACACACAGUGUUUUUUGUUAUUACAAGAACUUUUGCUUUGGUCUGGACUAGAAAUAGUUUGGGCCAGAGGUUUACUGAACUAAACUUCAAUAUUUAUAUUGAAUUGUUACUUAUUUAAUUGUCAAUUUGUUGAUUAAAUUCAAAAAAUCUUCAAAACUUUCAACAACGGAUCUCUUGAUUCUCGCAUCGAUGAAGAACGCAGCGAAAUGCGAUAAGUAAUAUGAAUUGCAGAUUUUCGUGAAUCAUCGAAUCUUUGAACGCACAUUGCGCCCUCUGGUAUUCCAGAGGGCAUGCCUGUUUGAGCGUCAUUUCUCUCUCAAACCUUCGGGUUUGGUAUUGAGUGAUACUCUUAGUCGAACUAGGCGUUUGCUUGAAAUGUAUUGGCAUGAGUGGUACUGGAUAGUGCUAUAUGACUUUCAAUGUAUUAGGUUUAUCCAACUCGUUGAAUAGUUUAAUGGUAUAUUUCUCGGUAUUCUAGGCUCGGCCUUACAAUAUAACAAACAAGUUUGACCUCAAAUCAGGUAGGACUACCCGCUGAACUUAAGCAUAUCAAUAAGUCG